AGCCAUGUGACUUAUCGACACCAUCUGUCCUAUACUAACCCAGAGUGCCAAGUAAUGUAUGCCUUGAAUGUCAUAUUCUGCAAUUCCUUCUGUUUGUGGUUUGUCUUAAAACCAUAACACAUUGUCAGUGACCUAUUGAUUCACACAUAAUUCUUAUCAGAUUUGUAUCUCUGUCUGAGUAUAAAACAAGAUACAGUCACACUUUUCUAAUUUCAGAAUUCUUAGACUGAGGAGCUAACUUUCUUUAUGUCUCUUUUGCCAAAGUUGCCCUCUGUUUUAGUUUCUGUUAAAUUCAUGCAGGUAUACAUAUUUGUCUAAUUGUUACACUACAUAACUAUAUGAAGAAUAACGCAUAUAACAUAUAUACAAAUAACAAUAAGAAAUGGAUACAAAGUAAUUUUUACAACAAAAGAACUUUAAAUUAAUGACCAUUGAUGCUCUUCAUCUUUUAAUUAGCUUUAUUCAUUCAGAGAUAAAAUGUCUGCCUCAUUAAUUUCUUUCUUAAUCUUAUAUAAUAAUGUUUUAUCUUUCCUAAUUUCAUCCACCCACUUUUUCAGUGGAAUUCCACUUGUUUGUGAAACAUUAAAUCCAUUAUUUGUUUUAAACUAUUAAAAAUAUUUAC